rnacentral:misc_RNA from 1 species
AACCAUUCUCACCUGCGGCUAGACCUGCGGAAGGAUCAUUAACGCGCCGUGGAGGUUGCCUUUAAACAGGUCUGACCUUCCACCUGGCCACCCUUGUUUAUCUUUAACCUGUUGCUUUGGUGGGCCCGCUGCAAGGCCGCUGGAGAAUUUAAAAGUUUUCUGGCCCGUGCCCACCAAAGUCCUAGUGAACUCUUUGUUAAUUUUCUGCUGUCUGAGCAUUAAAAGAAACAAUUUUUAAAA